rnacentral:rRNA from 1 species
UGGGGAAUAUUGGACAAUGGGCGAAAGCCUGAUCCAGCCAUGCCGCGUGUGUGAAGAAGGUCUUCGGAUUGUAAAGCACUUUAAGUUGGGAGGAAGGGCAUUAACCUAAUACGUUAGUGUUUUGACGUUACCGACAGAAUAAGCACCGGCUAACUCUGUGCCAGCAGCCGCGGUAAUACAGAGGGUGCAAGCGUUAAUCGGAAUUACUGGGCGUAAAGCGCGCGUAGGUGGUUUGUUAAGUUGGAUGUGAAAGCCCCGGGCGCAACCUGGGAACUGCAUCCAAAACUGGCAAGCUAGAGUACGGUAGAGGGUGGUGGAAUUUCCUGUGUAGCUGUGAAAUGCGUAGAUAUAGGAAGGAACACCAGUGGCGAAGGCGACCACCUGGACUGAUACUGACACUGAGGUGCGAAAGCGUGGGGAGCAAACA